CCUACGGGGGGCAGCAGUGAGGAAUAUUGGUCAAUGGGCGCAAGCCUGAACCAGCCAUGCCGCGUGAAGGAUGACAGCCCUAUGGGUCGUAAACUUCUUUUGUAUGGGAAGAACCCUCCUACGUGUAGGAGACUGACUGUACUAUACGAAUAAGCAUCGGCUAACUCCGUGCCAGCAGCCGCGGUAAUACGGAGGAUGCAAGCGUUAUCCGGAUUCAUUAGGUAUAAAGGGUGCGUAGGCGGAUUUGUAAGUCAGUGGUGAAAUACUACAGCUUAACUGUAGAACUGCCAUUGAUACUGCAAGUCUUGAGUACAAUUGAGGUAGGCGGAAUGUGUGGUGUAGCGGUGAAAUGCUUAGAUAUCACACAGAACUCCAAUUGCGAAGGCAGCUUACUAAACUGUAACUGACGCUGAUGCACGAAAGCGUGGGGAGCAAACAGGAUUAGAUACCCCUGUAGUC
rnacentral:rRNA from 1 species